rnacentral:tRNA from 1 species
UGCCUGGGUGGCGGAACUGGUAGACGCACAGGACUUAAAAUCCUGCGGGUGGUGACACCCGUGCCGGUUCGAUUCCGGCCCUAGGCACCAA